GCUUUUUUCUGGGACAGGUGCCAAUUCCAAACAAAAGACAUAAAAAGGCAAUGAGUGAGAGAUGCCUCGGACGAAAGAAAGAAAUAUGUUGCGCGAUUAAACGAAAGAGCAAGUUUGUGGAGGCCAUGUGUGCGAUUGUGCGUGGAGCGAAUGAGUGAGGAAGCUAAGAUUUAAAAUACUUUUCAUCUGUACGUUUCUCUCGUGCUCUCAAACACACUCCUCUCCUCUAGCGCUCUUCAUCCACUGAAGGCAUUUUAGUCGUGGAGGGGGGGAGAAUAGAGGAGGGGGCUCAGUUUUCAGCCUGCUGAAUUAUUCAUAUGCAUGGGCCAACGCUGCGAUCGGACUGGCUGAGACAUUCACAUGCAACGGACAUUCUGUUUGGCUGUUUGCUAACAUUCCUCAUUCAAAGACUUGUUAACUGCAAGACGGGCCGACAUACGCGUCUCUCUCACACUUGCAUAGGCCUGCUCGUCCCAGACCAGGGCAUGGUGUGCAGAUGUAUAGCCCAGUACUGGGGACAGGCAGCUGGGGUGGGAGGAUUGGCUUGGUCCCCUGGCCUACCUCCUUAUUCCUGCUGUGGACAGCUCACUGCCUGCUCUCUGUCUCUCUCUUUUUCUCCUUCUCUCUCUCUUCCUCAACACAGGGCUGGUGAAGUGAGCAGAAAAGGCCUUCAGCACUUGCCUGGAAUGUUUCUAUCUACUGGCGGCUGGCAAAAUUAUUGGAUGGCAAACUCAGGAGGUGACUGUCUACCUUCUCAUGUUGGUGACCUUGAUGGUUAUAAAAGGUCCCAGACUGAAGCUUUGGAGACAGAGGUGAUUGUUGGUGUUUGGUGCACAUCGAAGAGUGUUGACAAUAGUGCUUUCUAGUACUGACAUCACAGAAGUCAUAUUACAGUUAAUGUCUUUCCUCAGCUCUUGAUACACAGUAUCACUUCAUCCUGUCAGUUACAUGGGGAUUUGUAAGAUGUUGUGCACUGAUUGUCAUAUUAGGCAUUUUGUCAGAAAACACUAAGGUGAAGGAAAUCAAAGCCAUCAUUGCGGGAAGAGGAAAGAGAGAGACUGUCGUUUGGGGUGAGGUAGUAGGUUGUAUAGUUUGAGGGUUUAACCCUUGCUGUCAGAUAACUAUACAACUUACUGUCUUUCCCAAAGUGACCGUAAUGUCAUCGCUUGGCUCAAGACAAUAUUGACCAUGGAGGACAACGCUGACUCCAACGUUAACGUGUUGUUUAUUAAGAUACGCAUUUCUUCUUGAUGCAAGCAUAAAUUUUACAUUUACAAAAUCACAUUUUCAUCUCACCCAUACCGUAAAAAAGUUUUCCCAACAAACUGUCAGUAAUUACAAUAAAAUCUGGAAAUUUUCUAUAAAAACACAUCAGUUUAGUGUAACUUUUCUGCACACUUCAAGCCUUUGAAUUGGUCAGAUAUUUACAUGGAUCCAGUUAGAGGACAGUACUACAAAAUCUUCUUCUGAGUUCCAGAUAAAUUCUUCUUUUAGAACAAUAGAGUCAGUGUUAUAAACAUAAAAUAUAAAAUCUAUACAUUUUAAAUGUGACCUGGAUCAAAGACUAUGGGCUAAUAAAAUGUCAUUCUAAAAAUGUUGUUUUAUUUUAAUGUAUAAAAUCCCCACUGAUUCUAACAUGAUAGAUUGCAAGUGGAUAUUCAGCAGUGAUGUUCGUACAGGGUGAGGUAGUAGGUUGUGUGGUUUCAGGGUUGUGAUUUUGCCCCAUCAGGAGAUAACUAUACAACCUACUGCCUUCCCUGAAGGGCAGCAAAACACCGCGAGACAUCCUCAGUUCAAUGAGUGAUUUCUUUUACUAAGCUUUUUUCCCAAUCUUCCACUUAUGAUUUUGAGCUUGCCAUUUCAUACAGCACAUACCUUGAUUUCAUCACUUACAUCACAUGCAUUGAUCACAUACAGCACAGGUCUCUGAUACUAUGAACUUGAAUAAAAAGAGUUUGAAAAUUCAAAAUCUGCCUGUUUUCACUUUUCUUUAUUUCUCUCACAUGCAUGUUACAUUUAAAUAAUGCUAUAAUGAUUAUACCCUAAAAUUAUGUUAUACCCUGUUACAUAUCAGCAUGAAUAAAGAUAGUCUCUUGUCUCCUGAAUGUAAGGACGAAGCUGGA